rnacentral:rRNA from 1 species
CCUACGGGAGGCAGCAGUAGGGAAUCUUUCACAAUGGGCGAAAGCCUGAUGGAGCAACGCCGCGUGCAGGAUGAAGGCCUUCGGGUUGUAAACUGCUUUUAUAAGCGAGAAAUAUGAUGGUAACUUAUGAAUAAGGAUCGGCUAACUACGUGCCAGCAGCCGCGGUCAUACGUAGGAUCCGAGCAUUAUCCGGAGUGACUGGGUGUAAAGAGUUGCGUAGGUGGCAUAAUAAGUAGCUAGUGAAAUCUGGUGGGUCAACCAUUCAGACUAUUAGCUAAACUGUUAAGCUCGAGACCGUUAGGGGUAACUGGAAUGUGUAGUGUAGGAGUGAAAUCCGUAGAUAUUAGAAGGAACACCAAUAGCGUAGGCAGGUUACUGGGACGGUUCUGACACUAAGGCACGAAAGCGUAGGGAGCAAACGGGAUUAGAUACCCCGGUAGUC